GAUGAACGCUGGCGGCGUGCCUAAUACAUGCAAGUCGAGCGAACAGACGAGGCGCUUGCUCCUCUGACGUUAGCGGCGGACGGGUGAGUAACACGUGGAUAACCUACCUAUAAGACUGGGAUAACUUCGGGAAACCGGAGCUAAUACCGGAUAAUAUAUUGAACCGCAUGGUUCAAUAGUGAAAGACGGUUUUGCUGUCACUUAUAGAUGGAUCCGCGCCUCAUUAGCUAGUUGGUAAGGUAACGGCUUACCAAGGCAACGAUGCGUAGCCGACCUGAGAGGGUGAUAGGCCACACUGGAACGGAGACACGGUCAAGACGCCUACGGGAGGCAGCAGUAGGGAAUCUUCCGCAAUGGGCGAAAGCCUGACGGAGCAACGCCGCGUGAGUGAUGAAGGUCUUCGGAUCGUAAAACUCUGUUAUUAGGGAAGAACAAAUGUGGAAGUAAAUAUGCACGUCUUGACGGUAACUAAUCAGAAAGCCACGGCUAACUACGUG
rnacentral:rRNA from 1 species